rnacentral:lncRNA from 10 species
AUCUAACACAACAAGACCCACCUGGGAAGAGGGCCUGAUUUUUUUCUCCUACCAAAACUAAGUGCUUCUUUCUUCUCUUUGGAAAAAUAUUUAGUAAAUGAUUUCAACCUUAUGUGCUAACAGGUUCCAAUCCAAGUUCUUAAGGCAAGGACGGGAGCAAGAUAGAGCUGCAGAAUCUGUCAAUAUGGACUUUUAUGGGAAGAUGAAAAGCAUGUCCUGAAAACUCAGGCAGGGAUCAUUGAAGGACCUUCUAGUGUAACAAGACUGAGUUCUCACAGUGACCCCUAAGCAUCUAAGAAGGAUUGCCUUCUUUGCCUGGUUACUCCCACUUUCCUCCCUGUGCCACAUGUGUGCUUCCAAAAUGAGGCCCGACUACAAGAAUCAAGUAACAGUCAACAACUCAAUCAACUGUCCCUCCACCAACAACCAGAGACAGAUGAAGUGACAUCUGCAGCUGAGGAGCUGACAUAGAAGAAAACAUGGGGCAGCAUGGGCUCGUGACUCCCCACCCCACUCCACUUGAAGGAGGAACCCCGGCCACGCAUAUCCAAGCAAGAGGAGAAGAGAUCCUCUCUGGGAAAAGAACCCAGUUUGGUUGUGUAAAGAACAAAGCUUUUGACUGAGAAAAAUCUGGGCUCAAAUAUGGGUUCUACCCUUUAGAACCCCUGAGAUAUUAUGCAAAUUAAUCCCUACUCUGCUUCUUGGCAGAGUCCUUUCUGUAAAAUGGUAGGUAUUCCUUCCUUGCAAAGUCCCCAUGAGGAGCCUAGGAGUUCCUGCUCUCCUUGACACCUCUCCCAAAUGCAAUAAAUUACUCGCUAAGAUACUUGGGGGAUGGACAGGAAAUGGCAGAAAGGCCAGGGGAGACAUCCUAGGAGUCCAAAGAUUUUUCUGCUACAGCCCAGUAUCUUAUUAUGCUCCACAUGCCAGAUCAAGCAAGUGAGAGGAGACAGACAUGCUAGGAGCGCAGGUCCACUAUUCUCUACCCACUCUCCUCUCCUGGUGUCCCAGAAGGUGAUCCUGUCAAAUACAGUGUCAUGGGUCAACCUCAAAGCCUAGGAGUCACUCAGGCCUCAGUAGAAUCUCAACACCAUCACAGAGGGUGAGUGAGCCUACUGAUGUGUGAUACAGGGACCAUCCUACUUAUGACAUAGAAUUAUUGUAAGAAAAAAUGAGAUGACACAGAAAGGUCUCACCCAGUGACAAUACUAGUGUCACUCUUCUUUUUCUUAUUAACAUCUUCUGUCCACUCGCUAAGAAACCUUUCAAUAAAUAACAUCUGUUAUGAGAUUUUUCCUUUUCCUUCUUGUUUAGUUGGUUUUAUUUGUAAACUUUUCAAAACUUUUUUUAGAGACAGGGUCUCAUUCUAUUGCCCAGGCUGGAAUGCAGUGGUGUGACUUUGGCUCAUUGCAGCCUCAACCUCCUGGGCUCAAGCAAUCCUCCCAGCUCAGCCUCCUGAGUAGCUGGGAGUAAAAGCACACACCACCAUGCCAGGCUAAUUUUUGUAUUUUUUUUUUUUUUUUGUAGAGAGGCAGUCUCACUGUGUUGCACAGGAAACAAGUUUUUUAGCCUCUUUCUGAGUAUGUUCAACAGUGUGUGAAUUCCAUUAAUCCACUAACUUGGAAUCUAAAUAAUCUCCAGCCAUUCCAAAGCAGCUCCAAAAUAUAAGAAUCCACUAACAACAGAUCUGCUUCCAUGGAGCUAAGAGUGAACAUCCCGACACACACUGCAAAGCAAACUGUGUGCAGGGUAUAUGCUUAUAAACAGUCUCACCUUCACCCAGGAUACCAUCUUUUAUUAUUAUUAUUACUCUCUGUUUUCCUCUUGAAUGCUGACAAGUUGCACUAGGUAUUUCCUUCUCUCUUAGAUACGAAAAUAAAGCCUCUUCCAAACUUCUGGCUGUUGAGCUGCUAUGCCAGGGUGUCAGAGCCAGCCCCUGAGUCACUCAGCCGAAAGCCAAGCUGAGGGGAGGUGGUUUUCAUUGCAGGAACUUGGGUUAGCUUCCUGGAGACAAAACACAGCGACAUCAAUAAAUAGGGUAGAAAGGAGGCAGUGAUAAAAGGUGAAUUUAAACCUCAGUUUCAAUAUUAGCUAAAAAGCAUACAAUAGUUAAACAUAGCUAUACAAUAGAAUGCAUUUCUAUACAGUGGAAGAAAAAGGUCAAAGUCAAAGGCAGAACAGGCUUUGAUUCUUCCAUACACGCAGUCUACAUGGACAGAAAUAGCAUUUUCUUAAAUCCACAGCCUUUUUAUGGCAAUAGCCCAGCCUGUUUCUAAUGGGUAUUUUCAAGUUCCUUUUUUUCAUUCAUUCUGUAAAUAUUUAUAAGUGCCUCCUAUGUACCAGAUGCUGGGGAUACUACAGAGAAGAAGACACUGAAGUUCCCUGACUUCAUGGAGUGUCUAUUUUACCGGAAAAGAUAGAUUAUAAACAAUGCACACCAAGGGAUGAUGAACAAACUGUGACCCUGGGAAAGUGUCUUAAUCAUCCUAUGCCACCUAUUUCUCAUCUGCUUAAGGGGGCUGCUAAUAGUCCCGACAUGACUUGGUGUGUAGGCUUGGCGUGCGGAUGAAUGAGUGUUAUGUGUUUGAGGCUAAGCACAGUGCCUGGCUCUGGGUCAGCUUUGCCCAUGUGCAGGCUGUUAUAGCCCCAUUGGAAUGGAAGCUCAGAGAGUAGGGACCUCUUGUCUGUUUUGUCCAUUGUCAUCCCAGUGCUUAGAACCAUGCCUGAAAUAAAAUAAACACGUGCUCAAUCAAUAGUUGUUGAAUGACUGAAAUUUUAAAGAGUGAUAGAAGAGAGGACAGGGAGAGCAGGAAGCGGGGAUAGCAGAGCCAGGAUAACCUCUCUGGGGAGAGAUAGGGGAAGAAUAUUUCAGAAAGAAGGAAUGAGUACAAAUGCACUGAGGCAGGAAAAGCUUGCUGUGUUCCAGGGUCUCCCGAACACUCCAGGGUGAGCACAUGCGUCUCCGUGGUUGCGGGAUCC